UACGGAGGGGGCUAGCGUUGUUCGGAAUUACUGGGCGUAAAGCGCGCGUAGGCGGCUUUGUAAGUUAGAGGUGAAAGCCCGGAGCUCAACUCCGGAACUGCCUUUAAGACUGCAUCGCUAGAAUCAUGGAGAGGUGAGUGGAAUUCCGAGUGUAGAGGUGAAAAUUCGUAGAUAUUCGGAAGAACACCAGUGGCGAAGGCGACUCACUGGACAUGUAUUGACGCUGAGGUGCGAAAGCGUGGGGAGCAAACAGG
rnacentral:rRNA from 1 species